GGAGAGGUCGCAUAGCCCGGUCUAGUGCGCGCGCCUGGAGAGCGCGUGGAGGUUACGCCUCCCGUGGGUUCAAAUCCCACCCUCUCCG
rnacentral:tRNA from 1 species